UGAAUAUGCGUGAGAAGGCAAAUUUCUCUGUUGGUAGAAUCUUCGACGUGUUGUCCGGAAUUUUCGCGGGCGUUAAUAAAAAUCGUAAACACUUGGUCGUGAAGUACGCGUAUUAUAAGUUGCGAGAAAACGGUCCUGCCCGGUGAUUUAUUGCCGUGGUUUUUGGGCUUUUAUCGCCUUUUAUUGGACAUUCACGUGGGACUUUAAGCGCCGCCUUUGUGAAAAGCGAGUCCACUUGGAGCCGAAGCACUAAUGUAAACGUAUUUGUAGUACAGCUAUUUACCAAAUCACAA
rnacentral:misc_RNA from 1 species